GGAAGGAUGUCCGAGCGGUUUAAGGAGGCGGUCUUGAAAACCGUUGUAGGGAGACCUACCGUGGGUUCGAAUCCCACUCCUUCCG
rnacentral:tRNA from 1 species